rnacentral:rRNA from 1 species
UGGGGAAUUUUGGACAAUGGGCGAAAGCCUGAUCCAGCAAUGCCGCGUGUGUGAAGAAGGCCUUCGGGUUGUAAAGCACUUUUGUCCGGAAAGAAAUCCUUGGCUCUAAUACAGUCGGGGGAUGACGGUACCGGAAGAAUAAGCACCGGCUAACUACGUGCCAGCAGCCGCGGUAAUACGUAGGGUGCAAGCGUUAAUCGGAAUUACUGGGCGUAAAGCGUGCGCAGGCGGUUUGCUAAGACCGAUGUGAAAUCCCCGGGCUCAACCUGGGAACUGCAUUGGUGACUGGCAGGCUAGAGUAUGGCAGAGGGGGGUAGAAUUCCACGUGUAGCAGUGAAAUGCGUAGAGAUGUGGAGGAAUACCGAUGGCGAAGGCAGCCCCCUGGGCAAUACUGACGCUCAUGCACGAAAGCGUGGGGAGCAAACAGGAUUAGAUACCCUGGUAGUCCACGCCCUAAACGAUGUCAACUAGUUGUUGGGGAUUCAUUUCCCUAGUAACGUAGCUAACGCGUGAAGUUGACCGCCUGGGGAGUACGGUCGCAAAGAUUAAAACUCAAAUGAAUUGACGGGGUCAUAGCUGUUUCCU